rnacentral:lncRNA from 1 species
AAAAUAUCUGGGCCUGAGCUGAAGUGGGAAAUCACAAAGAACCAGCUAGAACAUGAUCUGUCUCUGCGUGAAGACAUUGGACCUCUGACCUUUUUUGUAGCUAUUCUGGGCAAGUAUAAUAAACAGGGUUCACUGGGUUUCUGUAAAUCUCUGAUUAUAUUUACUGUGAAAUCCAAGUGUUCAUCUCAGGCAGAAAAAAAUUAAGGCUGAUUUUCAAAUAUUAUGUACAAACUGUAGCUACUAAGCAUUCCAUAAUGAGCACUUUGGCAAUUCAAAGCAAAUUAGGGUUCCCACUAGGCAAGGAUGACAUGCACUGCAGUCAAAGAGAGAUGGUGUGUUGCUAAUGGAGAAUAUUCACUGAGAAUUUAAAGCAAAUCCAGACAGCACUGCCCACUGUAGUUUAAGAGAGAGGGAGAGAGAGAAAAAAAAAAACAUCUUCGUGCUCUUCAUUAGUGUGAUUUUUGUGUCAGUCUUAACUAUUUGCCUCUAUUUUUAAUAUUAGUUUACAGAACAACGCUAAUGAGUUACAACCUCUUAUCCGUGGGUAGUUCUUUAGAAAGAUGCAUUUGUACGAAAACCAGUUUCUUCCUCGUGUUCAUCAGUGAAAUAUUCGUUCGAUCUGCCAGAGACUAAUGCAGGAGUUGAUUAAAAUUGAGGAAGGAACUUUUUAUUCUCAACCAAGCACAAAAUCUAAUCAGAAUCACACCAAUCAUACAUAUAAAG